rnacentral:rRNA from 1 species
AAGUUUGAUAAAGCACAAGUUCUUAAUAAAAGUGGAAUUGAUCUAUUGCGAAGUGAAGUUGGUUCAGUCUUUUAUUUCCACAUAUCAGUGGGUCAUUCGUUUCCUGCAAAUCGGACUUGGCGAGUCAUCUAUAUAUUGGUCGGUUGGCCGUACGUCUAUCCUACAAAUUGGGGGCUCACCCAAGCCUAUCCUACAUAUAUAAAGCUAAAAUUCCUUUGAAUUUUACAAUAAUAAUAUUCUCAUAGAUUUUAAUAUUAAUUUUAUGCAUUUACUUAUAUGAUUAACAAUGCGAAAGACUCAGGAAACCUUCGUGACCCGUCUUGAAACUCGGACCAAGGAGUUUAACAUAUGUACAUAUGUGCAAGUCACUGGGUUAUAUUAAACCUGAUGGCGUAAUUAACUUAACUGUAUGGGAUUAAUUUUAGUGUAUUACACUAUUAAUUCAAUCCCGGGGCGUUCCAUAUAGUUAUGAACAAUGAUAAUUUAUUAUUAUUUAUACCUCUAACUGCAGCGUACCUUGAGCUUAUGUAUAUGCUGUGACCCGAAAGAUGGUGAACUAUACUUGAUNUGGUUAAAGUCAGGGGAAACCCUGAUGGAAGACCGAAACAGUUGUGAGCAAAUCGAUUGUCAGAAUUAAGUAGAACCAAUCGAACCAUCUUGUAGCUGGUUCUGUCCGAAGUUUCCCUCAGCAUAGCUGGUGCAUUUAAAUAUUAUGUACAAUAAUCUUAGCUGGUAAAGCGAAUGAUUAGAGGCCUUAGGCUCGAAACAACUUUAACCAAUUCUCAAACUUUAAAUGGGUAAAAACCUCACCUCUCUUGGUAUGAAGGUUGAUGUUAUGAUAUAAUGUGGCCAGUGGGCCACUUUUGGUAAGCAGAACUGGUUCUGUGGGAUGAACCAAACGUAAUGUACGGUGCGUAAAUUAACAACUCAUGCAGAUACCAUGAAAAGCGUUGGUUGCUUAAAACAGCAGGACGGUGGACAUAAAAGUCGUAAUCCGCUAAGGAGUGUGUAACAACUCACCUGCCGAAGCAACUAGACCUUAAAAUGGAUGGCGUUUAAGUUAUAUACCUAUACAUUAACGCUAAAGUAGAUGAUUUACUAUAUAAUGCAAUUUCGGUCAGAUUAUAAAUUUUGAAACUCUAGCUGAAAAUUUUCAAGUUUUAAUGAAUUUAAGUUAAAUUUAAUUUUGUUUUUUUUUCAUAGUAGUUAAAUACUUGAAUAAUUUUGAACUAAAGGGAAUACGGUUCCUUGUGCUCAUCUUGACAACAGGAACGACCGUAAAGGAGCCGUCGAGAGGUAUCGGAAGAGACCGACUUGGAGAAUCUGUCUGUCUAAUUAAAACAAAGCAUUGUGAUGGCUCUAACGGGUGUUGACACAAAGUGAUUUCUGUCAAGUGCUCUGAAUGUCAAAGUGAAGAAGUUCAAGUAAGCGCGGGUAAACGGCGGGAAUAACUAGGCCUCUCUUAAGGUAGCCAAAUGCCUCGCCAUCUAAUUAGUGACGUGCAUGAAUGGAUUAACGAGAUUCCUUCUUCUAUAGUUGUGAUUCAUAGAGUGUACACGUGUGCUCGCAUUAUUGUGUGAAAUAAUAGGAAAAUAUUUGAAAAAACGGGUAAUUUUUGGGAUUGAGUUUCGUACGUGGAAUUGCAUGUAAGUACGCUUAUUUGUGGUUGCUUUGUGUUAGGGUCAUUUGUUUUUCA